rnacentral:rRNA from 1 species
CUACGGGCGGCUCCAGUGGGGAAUAUUGCACAAUGGAGGAAACUCUGAUGCAGCAACGCCGCGUGGAGGAUGACACUUUUCGGAGCGUAAACUCCUUUUAUAUAGGAAGAAGAUGACGGUACUAUAUGAAUAAGCGCCGGCUAACUCCGUGCCAGCAGCCGCGGUAAUACGGAGGGCGCAAGCGUUACUCAGAAUCACUGGGCGUAAAGAGCGUGUAGGCGGAUUAAAAAGUCAGAAGUGAAAUCCUAUAGCUUAACUAUAGAACUGCUUCUGAAACUCUUAAUCUAGAAUAUGGGAGAGGUAGAUGGAAUUUCUGGUGUAGGGGUAAUAUCCGUAGAGAUCAGAAGGAAUACCGAUUGCGAAGGCGAUCUACUAGAACAUUAUUGACGCUGAGACGCGAAAGCGUGGGGAGCAAACAGGAUUAGAUACCCUCGUAGUC